rnacentral:rRNA from 1 species
GAUGAACGCUGGCGGCGUGCCUUACACAUGCAAGUCGAGCGAACAGAUGAGGAGCUUGCUCCUCUGACGUUAGCGGCGGACGGGUGAGUAACACGUGGAUCACCUACCUAUAAGACUGGGAUAAAUUCGGGUAAUCGGAGCUAAUACCGGCUACUAUAUUGAACCGCAUGGUUUCAUAGUGAAAGCCGGUUUUGCUGUCACUUAUAGAUGGAUCCGUGCCGCAUUAGCUAGUUGGUCAGGUAACGGCUUACCAAGGCGACGAUGCGUAGCCGACCUGAGAGGAUGAUCAGCCACACUGGGACUGAGACACGGUCCAGACUCCUACGGGAGGCAGCAGUAGGGAAUCUUGCGCAAUGGGCGAAAGCCUGACGGAGCAACGCCGCGUGAAGGAUGAAGGUCUUCGGGUCGUAAAACGCUUUUAUAAGGAAAGAACAAAUUUGUAAGAAACUAGAGACGUCAUGACGGUACCGAAACAAUAAGCCACGGCUAACUACGUG